GAUGAACGCUGACAGAAUGCUUAACACAUGCAAGUCUACUUGAACUUCGGUUUGGGUGGCGGCCGGGUGAGUCACGCGUAAAGAACUUGCCUCACAGUUAGGGACAACAUUUGGAAACGAAUGCUAAUACCUGAUAUUAUGAUUUUAGGGCAUCCUAGGAUUAUGAAAGCUAUAUGUGCUGUGAGAGAGCUUUGCGUCCCAUUAGCUAGUUGGAGAGGUAACGGCUCACCAAGGCGAUGAUGGGUAGCCGGCCUGAGAGGGUGAACGGCCACAAGGGGACUGAGAGACGGCCCUUACGCCUACGGGAGGCAGCAGUGGGGAAUAUUGGACAAUGGACCAAAAGUCUGAUCCAGCAAUUCUGUGUGCAAGAUGACGUUUUUCGGAAUGUAAAGUGCUUUCAGUUGGGAAGAAAAAAAUGACGGUACCAACAGAAGAAGUGACGGCUAAAUACGUG
rnacentral:rRNA from 1 species